GAGUAGUUUUUGCUCUUGCUAACUUUGUCUUGCAGGUACUUUAUGUUAAAAAUUAUUUUGUUCAUCUAAAGUGCCAAA